rnacentral:lncRNA from 1 species
GGUAUUUAAUAUAUUCAUCAUAUUUCAAUCCAUGGAUAAAAACAUUAUUUAAAAACUGAGAUCCCAGGCUAUUAUUUUGUCUUAAUCUGUGAUUUAAUUAGUGUUGAGGAACUCCAGGUGAGAAAAAUCCCUCUGUCAACGCAGAUUAGCAACUGUUCUGUUUCCUAUAAUCUUAGAGGCCUGUAGCCAAAAAAUAUAAAUGACUUGUCCAGUGACAUAGCCAUUUUAUACUCUUAACAAGUACAGCUCAAAAUAUUUAAAGGUAGUUACUUUUGGCUAUUAUGUAGCCCUUAUUUAUAUUAAACUUGGUAUUGUAGAAUAAGAUUCUGUUGACAGAAUAUGUACAACUUUAUAAAUUUAUGUCACUAAUUCAAAUAUUGCAUAAUUACCUUUAUGUGGCUUCUUGGACUUCCAUAUGUUUACACCAACAACUGGAACCUUCUUUGAAUUCUGAUGAUGAUUUGUCAGGGAUUGAAACUUGAUUGAAUGAGAUAACUACAUCUUUCUCUUCUCACCAGAGGCGGUCACUCUAUAAAAGAAAAGACAGAAGAGUAAUAAGGAUCUCCACUGAAGUUUCCUCUGAUGCCUUAUCUGAGUACAGAAGUGACAAGGGAUUCUCAAAUACCAUGCCAGUGGAGCACCAGCUGGGAAGGUGUCAUCUAUUGUAGAACCCAUCUCCUCCAACUGCCACAGCUACUGAAGACCCAGACAAGUGAGGAAACCAAGGCCUAGACAGAAGAAGGAACUUUUCAGAAGUAACUCUAUUGUGAGUGGCAGAGCCAGGAUUCAAUAAAAAUUUAUUAAUGCCUACUAUGUGCCA